rnacentral:rRNA from 1 species
UGGGGAAUAUUGGACAAUGGGCGCAAGCCUGAUCCAGCCAUGCCGCGUGUGUGAAGAAGGCCUUCGGGUUGUAAAGCACUUUCAGCGAGGAGGAAGGGAUGUAUGUUAAUAGCAUGCAUUUUUGACGUUACUCGCAGAAGAAGCACCGGCUAACUCUGUGCCAGCAGCCGCGGUAAUACAGAGGGUGCAAGCGUUAAUCGGAAUUACUGGGCGUAAAGCGCACGUAGGCGGUUGUUUAAGUUGGAUGUGAAAGCCCCGGGCUCAACCUGGGAAUUGCAUUCAAAACUGGACAACUAGAGUGUGUGAGAGGGGGGUAGAAUUCCAAGUGUAGCGGUGAAAUGCGUAGAGAUUUGGAGGAAUACCAGUGGCGAAGGCGGCCCCCUGGCACAACACUGACGCU